rnacentral:lncRNA from 1 species
CCCACUCUGCUGUGAAUUGGAUCCAGGGAGUCUGUAAGCCUGUAUUUCUAGUUAGGUAAUUCAGCUUAGUAUUGGUGGAAAAUAUCUCCCAAACUUAUUUGUAACCUGCACGUACAUUUUAUAUUCAGCACAAACUCAACAGCCUAUGUUUGGGAAUUGGUCAGCUUCAAUUAUGCAUUUAUUAUACUAUAGCCUCUGUUCCAACCCUUGUCUUGGAAACACCGUGAAGUCAUCUGACCUGAAUUCUCAAACUGUGGGGGUAACAGGGGGUUGCUACACAAACAAGAUAGCCCGCCCAUGGACGGUGCUCACCGAGUGAACAAACAUGACAGAGGAUAUCGGUCGUCCGCAUUUGCAGUGUGUGAACCAAGAGGGUUAUGAGUUAAUUAACAUAGAUUCUUUGAGCUUCUUCACUGUAGAGCUAGUUUCACAACUUGCAUCAUGAUACCUCCCAUGCCUAGGGAAAUAACCAAUAAGAUAUAUAUCAAAUAGGAUAAUUUGCUUGAUACAUUCCACUUUAUUACAUGGAGAAGAAUAGAAACACCCCCUAAUGCUCAGUUGAUUCCUCUUCUCUGAUGAUGGAAACAGAGGCAUAUAUAUGAUGAACUAGGUAGAGAAAUCGAGUAGAGUGAUAGGUGUAGUUUGACCUCAGUUUGUUUUGAAGCACAAAUUAUGGUCCGCCAUAAAGAUGGUUCGUACUCUACCAUAGGAGUAAAUAGAGAAGCAUCAAGACUCCAUAAAUACUCAUCUCUUAUUCAUUCUUUUCUAAUUGCCAAAUCUUUGCGCAUAUAUCCUGGAAGCGAGAGAAAUCAUCCACAUCCCUUAUGUGGCAAGCGUUUCUCUGUGACCAGUUUCAGCAAGGAAAAUCAACUAAUUUCUGAUGUACUUUAUGUCACUUUUUGCAGAAUUUGUAGCAUUUUCCUAUCGACCAAGUACCGGACUGGAAAGAUGAGACUAGUGUGAAGUACAUCCGUUCUGUUCUUAGUGCCCUACUGCUGUGAAUUGGAUCCAGGGAGUCCGUAAGCCUGUAAUUCUAGUUAGUUAAUUCACCUUAGUAUUGGUGGAAAACAUUCUCCGAAACUUAUUUGUAACCUGUACGUACAUUUUAUAUUCAGCACAAACUCAACAUUCUAUAUUUGGGAAUUUAUCAGCUUCUAUUCUCCAUUCAUUGUACUAAAGCCCUCUGUUCAACCCUGUCUUGGAGACACC